GACGGAGGUGCUAGCGUUGUUCGGAAUCACUGGGCGUAAAGGGCGCGUAGGCGGCCUUGCAAGUCGGUUGGUGAAAGCCCGGGGCUCAACCCCGGAGGUGCGGCCGAGACUGCAGGCUGGAGGCCGGAAGAGGAGGGUGGAAUACCCAGUGUAGAGGUGAAAUUCGUAGAUAUUAGGAAGAACACCAGUGGCGAAGGCGGCUCGUCGUGGGCUCUACCUGACGCUGAGACGCGAAAGCGUGGGGAGCGAACCGG
rnacentral:rRNA from 1 species